CUUCCAGCAUGGAAGUGGCAUCUGACGCUUGAUCAGAGAGAUCCUAAAGGAAUGUCAGAGAGCUAUUCAAUAACCAAGCAAUGAGGAAUGGUGCAGCUGCUAUUUAUUGAUUGAGAGGUGGUGUACAAAAAGAAUGUCCGGAUACCCAUCUAUCUCUUUCAUUCACUACACACCAAUUAAAACAGGUUAUUUCUAGUGAACAGCUUUAGAAGACCUACAUUGUGGAAUCCCACAGAUCUGCGUUUCUUCAGCACUAAUGCUUUCUGAACAAGCAAGGCUUACUGCCCAAAGCUAUUCUGCAUCAUCAAAAGAAAAAAAAAAGCAUGUCGCAUCCUUCAACUCAUCACUGUCACAGGAAAAUCUAUCCUGCUGUCAUGGAUUUGCUUCAUUUCGCAAACCAACCAAGAGAAGGCAAGAUUCACUGGUCAGCUGAUCAAAUCUACAAAGCAAGUAUCAUUGCAUAGAGGAUUUGUAGCUUAAAUUAUGGGAAGGAACAGUCUGUCUAGGAAAAUAUGAUAAAUUUAAAGCUCACAGUGCCAAAUGCCCUACAUCCAUGUGUGUGCUGAAACCACUCACUGUGCUGAUUGGUGAAUAUUUAUAUUUUAUAUGUGUGGCAGAUGCUAUCUGUAUAACAUGGCCCCUCCCCCUGUGUGCUUUGCUCUCUGUGCUGUCACUCCAAUGACUACAGCAUGUGUCACUACUAUGAUUAUGAGCAAGAACAGAAUGUAGGUGUAUGUAUAUACAGUGUUCUCCCAAGGACCUAGCUAAUAAUAAGGUCAUUACCCAGCUGAUUUUACUGACCACCCGGCUAACAUUUAAGCCAAUAUUAAAGGAUUACUUUCUGUUAUAAUUUUUAAGCGAAACAAUUAACAUAUUAAAGUUAAUAAAAAUUAAUUAAA